rnacentral:rRNA from 1 species
CCUACGGGAGGCUGCAGUGGGGGAUAUUGCACAAUGGGGGGAACCCUGAUGCAGCGACGCCGCGUGGGUGAAGAAGCGCCUCGGCGCGUAAAGCCCUGUCAGCAGGGAAGAAAAUGACGGUACCUUAAGAAGAAGCCCCGGCUAACUACGGGCCAGCCGCCGCGGUAAUACGUAGGGGGCAAGCGUUAUCCGGAUUUACUGGGUGUAAAGGGGGCGCAGACGGCCAUGCAAGCCAGGAGUGAAAGCCCGGGGCCCAACCCCGGGACUGCUCUUGGAACUGCGUGGCUGGAGUGCAGGAGGGGCAGGCGGAAUUCCUGGUGUAGCGGUGAAAUGCGUAGAUAUCAGGAGGAACACCGGUGGCGAAGGCGGCCUGCUGGACUGCAACUGACGUUGAGGCCCGAAAGCGUGGGGAGCGAACAGGAUUAGAUACCCGAGUAGUC